rnacentral:rRNA from 1 species
GCCUCCCUCCGCGCCAUCAGACUCCUACGGGAGGCGAGCAGUGGGGUAAGUUUUGCGCAAGUGGGGGAAACCCGUGACGCAGCAACGCCGCGGUGGGGGAGUGAAGCCCUUCGGGCGUAACUCCUUUCGACCAAGACGAUAAUGACGGUACUGGUGGAAGAAGCACCGGCUAACUCUGUGCCAGCAGCCGCGGUAAUAC